AUUGGGGCUUUCUGGAAGGAGUGGGCAAUCUGUGAGCCCGUAGGUUGGUCCCACCUAAUGGGCUGGGCAGGUAGCUCCACUAGCCCUGCUCUUCAGCUGCCAACCCAGUUUCCUUGGAGACCCAAAGCUGUGGAAUGAGCUGUCCAAGAGUGCUGAACCAAAUAUUAUGCAACUUAAGGUCCCUUCCCCCAUCAUCAUUACGCUGCGUGGCUCAGGUGAGGCUGACUCACUCCCAGCAGCUGGGGUUGUCAAGACAUGGAAGCACGGCGCAUCAGGUGUUUCAUUUCUCUCUGAGGACGGAGACAGACCCAGCUGAAUCAGUGAAAAAAAAGCUCCCAUGAGAUUUCGAAGAAUUCUGACAAAAGAGGCCUUCCUUUCCCCAGAAACUGAGCUUCUAGAUCAUCAUAAGCCUGCCUCUUCCAGUUACUGUCUCUACUCCCCAGAUGAGGGAAAUUGAUGUUAGAAAGAGAAGAAAACAUUGCCGAGAAAGGCAAAUAGUUGAAGGUACUCUGAUAACACCGUUGGUGGUUUGAUUUGUUAAAACAAGGUUUUACUGCAUAGCCCUGACUGGCUUUGAACUGUUGACAGUCCAUUUGCCUCAGCCUCCCAACUAACUAGGAUUAUAGGGAGGUAUGAGCCGUUAUGGUUAGUUUGUAGAUGUUUUAAAAUUUUAAUAUAGG
rnacentral:lncRNA from 1 species